UACGUAGGGUGCAAGCGUUAAUCGGAAUUACUGGGCGUAAAGCGUGCGCAGGCGGUUAUGCAAGACAGAUGGGAAAUCCCCGGGCUCAACCUGGGAACUGCAUUUGUGACUGCAUGGCUAGAGUGCGGCAGAGGGGGAUGGAAUUCCGCGUGUAGCAGUGAAAUGCGUAGAUAUGCGGAGGAACACCGAUGGCGAAGGCAAUCCCCUGGGCCUGCACUGACGCUCAUGCACGAAAGCGUGGGGAGCAAACGGG
rnacentral:rRNA from 1 species